GGCUCGACUCCGAUGCUCUAGAUUACGCGAAGAACUUACCUACUCUUGACAUCCAGAGAAGCCAGCGGAGACGCAGGUGUGCCUUCGGGAGCUCUGAGACAGGUGCUGCAUGGCUGUCGUCAGCUCGUGUUGUGAAAUGUUGGGUUAAGUCCCGCAACGAGCGCAACCCUUAUCCUUGUUUGCCAGCGAGUAAUGUCGGGAACUCCAGGGAGACUGCCGGUGAUAAACCGGAGGAAGGUGGGGACGACGUCAAGUCAUCAUGGCCCUUACGAGUAGGGCUACACACGUGCUACAAUGGCGCAUACAGAGGGCAGCCAACUUGCGAAAGUGAGCGAAUCCCAAAAAGUGCGUCGUAGUCCGGAUUGGAGUCUGCAACUCGACUCCAUGAAGUCGGAAUCGCUAGUAAUCGUAGAUCAGAAUGCUACGGUGAAUACGUUCCCGGGUCUUGUA
rnacentral:rRNA from 1 species